rnacentral:rRNA from 1 species
AUUGAACGCUGGCGGCAUGCCUUACACAUGCAAGUCGAACGGCAGCACGGGUGCUUGCACCUGGUGGCGAGUGGCGAACGGGUGAGUAAUGCAUCGGAACGUACCAUUGAGUGGGGGAUAACGUAGCGAAAGUUACGCUAAUACCGCAUAUUCUCUACGGAGGAAAGCAGGGGCUCGCAAGACCUUGUGCUCUUUGAGCGGCCGAUGUCGGAUGAGCUAGUUGGUGGGGUAAAGGCCCACCAAGGCGACGAUCCGUAGCUGGUCUGAGAGGAUGAUCAGCCACACUGGGACUGAGACACGGCCCAGACUCCUACGGGAGGCAGCAGUGGGGAAUUUUGGACAAUGGGGGCAACCCUGAUCCAGCCAUGCCGCGUGAGUGAAGAAGGCCUUCGGGUUGUAAAGCUCUUUCGCGAGGGAAGAAAACGUGCAGGCUAAUACCCUGUAUGGAUGACGGUACCUUGAUAAGAAGCACCGGCUAACUACGUGCCAGCCGCCGCGGUAA